AUGAGAAAGGGAAUAUCAGCGUCUAAAAGUCAUCACAAUAAGAAGCACACAUUGUAUCACCACUGUGGCUCUAAGUGUUACCACCUUCACAAGACUUCCUGUGGCAAAUGUGGCUACCCUGACAAGCACAAGAGGUAGAAUAACUGCAGUGCCAAAGUGAAAAGACAAAAUACCACAGGGAUUUGUCAAAUGAGGUACCUGAAAAUUGUUUACUGGAGAUUCAGGAACAGGGUCUGUGAAGGAAUACGUAAACCCAAGAGGGCAGCUGUUGCAGCAUCCAGUUCAUCU
rnacentral:lncRNA from 1 species